rnacentral:misc_RNA from 1 species
GAGUUCAUGCCCUCACGGGUAGAUCUCCCACCCUUGAAUAUAUUACCUUUGUUGCUUUGGCGGGCCGCAUCGUCCUCCGGCCCCGGCUGGGGAGUGCCCGCCAGAGGACCCUAAACUCUGAUUUAUAGUGUCGUCUGAGAACUAUACAAUAGUUAAAACUUUCAACAACGGAUCUCUUGGUUCU